rnacentral:sRNA from 1 species
CUGAAAUAAGUUUUAGGACUCACUCUGUAUUUC